AAAGAUGCGCUAAUACCGCAUAAUCUCUAAGGAGAAAAGCAGGGGAUCGCAAGACCUUGCGCUUUUGGAGCGGCCGAUGUCUGAUUAGCUAGUUGGUGAGGUAAAGGCUUACCAAGGCUUCGAUCAGUAGCUGGUCUGAGAGGACGACCAGCCACACUGGGACUGAGACACGGCCCAGACUCCUACGGGAGGCAGCAGUGGGGAAUUUUGGACAAUGGGGGCAACCCUGAUCCAGCCAUGCCGCGUGAGUGAAGAAGGCCUUCGGGUUGUAAAGCUCUUUCAGCCGGAACGAAAAGGUUACGGUUAAUACCCGUGACUAAUGACGGUACCGGAAGAAGAAGCACCGGCUAACUACGUGCCAGCAGCCGCGGUAAUACGUAGGGUGCGAGCGUUAAUCGGAAUUACUGGGCGUAAAGCGUGCGCAGGCGGUUUUGUAAGUCAGAUGUGAAAUCCCCGGGCUUAACCUGGGAACUGCGCUUGAAACUACAAGGCUAGAGUGUGGCAGAGGGGGGUGGAAUUCCACGUGUAGCAGUGAAAUGCGUAGAGAUGUGGAGGGACACCGAUGGCGAAGGCAGCCCCCUGGGUUAACACUGACGCUCAGGCACGAAAGCGUGGGGAGCAAACAGGAUUAGAUACCCUGGUAGUCCACGCCCUAAACGAUGUCAACUAGUUGUCGGGUCUUAACGGGCUUGGUAACGCAGCUAACGCGUGAAGUUGACCGCCUGGGGAGUACGGUCGCAAGAUUAAAACUCAAAGGAAUUGACGGGGACCUGCACAAGCGGUGGAUUAUGUGGAUUAAUUCGAUGCAACGCGAAAAACCUUACCUACCCUUGACAUGUACCGAAGCCCGCCGAGAGGUGGGCGUGCC
rnacentral:rRNA from 1 species